GAAAUGCGAUAAGUAAUGUGAAUUGCAGAAUUCAGUGAAUCAUCGAAUCUUUGAACGCACCUUGCGCUCCUUGGUAUUCCGAGGAGCAUGCCUGUUUGAGUGUCAUGGAAUUCUCAACUUAUAAAUCCUUGUGAUCUAUAAGCUUGGACUUGGAGGCUUGCUGGCCCUUGCGGUCGGCUCCUCUUGAAUGCAUUAGCUCGAUUCCGUACGGAUCGGCUCUCAGUGUGAUAAUUGUCUACGCUGUGACCGUGAAGUGUUUUGGCGAGCUUCUAACCGUCCAUUAGGACAACUUUUUAACAUCUGACCUCAAAUCAGGUAGGACUACCCGCUGAACUUAAGC
rnacentral:misc_RNA from 1 species